GAUGAACGCUGGCGGCGUGCCUAAUACAUGCAAGUCGAGCGAACAGACGAGGAGCUUGCUCCUCUGACGUUAGCGGCGGACGGGUGAGUAACACGUGGAUAACCUACCUAUAAGACUGGGAUAAAUUCGGGAAACCGGAGCUAAUAACGGAUAAUAUAUUGAACCGCAUGGUUCAAUAGUGAAAGACGGUUUUGCUGUCACUUAUAGAUGGAUCCGCGCCGCAUUAGCUAGUUGGUAAGGUAACGGCUUACCAAGGCAACGAUGCGUAGCCGACCUGAGAGGGUGAUCGGCCACACUGGAACUGAGACACGGUCCAGACUCCUACGGGAGGCAGCAGUAGGGAAUCUUCCGCAAUGGGCGAAAGCCUGACGGAGCAACGCCGCGUGAGUGAUGAAGGUCUUCGGAUCGUAAAACUCUGUUAUUAGGGAAGAACAAAUGUGUAAGUAACUAUGCACGUCUUGACGGUACCUAAUCAGAAAGCCACGGCUAACUACGUG
rnacentral:rRNA from 1 species